rnacentral:lncRNA from 1 species
UCUAUCCAAAAUUGUAUGAGUUAUAGAAAUUAAACUGUGAAUCUUAUUUAUUUCAUGAAGUAUACUUUAGGAUGUGUAUGGCCUUAAAAUCUUACCUGUUGAUUUUAAGGAAAAUUUGCAGACUCUUCUCCAUAAGUGUUGUGUCACAAGUAUUUCCCCUAUUAACAUCUUCAGAACGAUCACCUUUAUAAAUACAGGUAACUUGCCAUAUAAUUAAAUAUGCUUUUAUUUGGGGACAUUUAGUUGUAUAUAGUUCAGCAAUAAAUAACAUUGGGGUUGGUUUCUUUUUUCUUCUCUUCUACUGUUUCU